rnacentral:piRNA from 1 species
UACUAAGCAGGAGAUGGAUGUAGGAUUUC